ensembl:lncRNA
AGCUCCUUCAGUUGAUGCCACUGGGUCACCAGAUGUCAGCGAUGAAGGUGUUGCCAUGACUGACAGCGAUGAAGAUGCUGCAGAACAGUCAAAUGAGACUGCAGAGUCUGUGCCCGAAAACAGCGCCGACACCAGCACGGAGUCUGAGCCAGCACCUAAUGGUGACAAAGAAGAUGGGGGGGAGGCAUUGAGUGAUGAAGAGCAGGAAGUGAAGGAGAAGGGAGAUGAAACGAGUGAAAAAGAUACCAGUGAGGAGGAGGAGGGGGGGGAGGUGGUGCCUAUCAUAGAAGAGGACAGCAAAGAGGAAACUCCAGCUGAAGAAGACAGCCAAAUGAAUAACAGUGAGAUUGAAGACAUGGUGGAGAUAGAGGAGAAAGAGGCUGAGGAGGAAGAAACAGAAGAGGAGAAUGAGGAGGAGUUCAAAGAAGUGGAGGAGGAGAAGGAGGAAAAAGAGAACGAUAAUCAGGAUGAGCUAGGGGAGGAUAAGCAGGAUGAGCUAGGGGAGGAGAAAGAGGAGGAGGAUGAGCUAGAGGAGGAUAAGGAGGAGGACGAGCCAGAGGAGGAGGAGCUAGAGAAGGAAAAUGAAGAGAAAGAGCAAGAUGGGGAUAAAGAGGAGGAUGAGGCAGAAGAGGAGAAGGAAGAGUUAGAUAAUGAAAAGGAAGAGAAAGAGGAAGAUACGGAUGAGAAGGAGGAGCAGCGGGAGGAACUGGAGGAAGGAAAUGAGGAGGAGCAAGAGAUAAAGGAGGAGGAAGAGGAGGAGGAGGAUUUCAAGGAUGAAUCUGAAAAUGCAGAUACUGAAGAACCUGAUGAAAUUGAUGAUGGUCUGGACUCCACUGAAGCAACACCUGCUGGUGAACUGGACCAAUCAGAUGAUGCCACCCCCGUCACCAAACAGGCUACCAGUUAGAUGCUUCGCCUCUGAGCUGUGGGAGCUCAGCAACUGCAGAGCCAAGCCCACAGCCUCCACAGUGGAAUCCAGCUGCCAUGACUUCAACAACCUAAACUGCAUGAAUUUCAACGUUCAGCCAACUGUUGUUUCCUCUCCCCAUUUUCUAGCAGUGUCUGUUUUAACCUCUGGCUUCUUUGGUUUUCUCAGAUUAAAAAAGGAAAUGUCUUUCACCUGCUGACUGUCUUCUUUUCUGCCAUGUGUCUCUCUUUCCAGCUUCUUGUCUGCAGAAAUAUUAAAUCAGCUGCUGAGCUCAGAUCUGUUUUGUGUGUCUGAUUUCACACAUUAACAUGUACAUAAGUCCCUCUUUAAUUUACAGAGAAUGUUUUUAAGGACGUGAAAAACCAGUCAGUGGUGUAUACAGAGGAACUGCUAAUAAAGUUUGAAUUGUCGAAAC